AAAAUAGGCACAACUGUUGACUUCAAGGGAAUGACACUCCGGACGAGGUUUAAAAGCAGAGGCUCAUCAAAGCUCCCCUUGACUAGAUCCUAGAGGAGGAGUCCAGAGAGAGUCAGCUGCUCUGGGGCUCAUGAGCAGCCAACUCGAGUAGCCAAGAAGGAGAGGCUGGGUGAAGCCCAGACAGGGUCUUACCAAGUUGCCUAGGCUGGCCUUAAACUUGUAAUCCUCCUGCCUCAGCCUCCCAAGUUACUGGGAUUUCAGACGCAUGCCACCCUGCCAGGCAUAACGUACAUUUUAUGUAACAUCAGGUCCAGGGAUAGCAGGAAAAUACUCCCUCAAAUCAGAGACUGAAGACACAUCUCCCAGGAGGGGGAAGGGGAAGAUGCAAGUGGCUUCCUGCUUCUGCUUUUCUCAAAUGGCAGAUGCCGUAUUUAGGGGAGCAUGUCCUUACUCCCAUUGUACCCAAGAAAGCACACACGCUCCUUAAAGGGGCCAAUGAGCACAGCUUAAAAGAUGUCAU